rnacentral:rRNA from 1 species
CACGUAGGGGGCAAGCGUUGUCCGGAUUUAUUGGGCGUAAAGAGCGUGUAGGCGGCUAGGUAGGUCCGUUGUGAAAACUCGAGGCUCAACCUCGAGACGUCGAUGGAAACCAUCUAGCUAGAGUCCGGAAGAGGAGAGUGGAAUUCCUGGUGUAGCGGUGAAAUGCGCAGAUAUCAGGAAGAACACCAAUGGCGAAGGCAGCUCUCUGGGACGGUACUGACGCUGAGACGCGAAAGCGUGGGGAGCGAACAGG